UACAGAGGUCCCGAGCGUUGUUCGGAUUCACUGGGCGUAAAGGGCGCGUAGGCGGCCUUCUAAGUCGGACGUGAAAUCCCCGGGCUCAACCCGGGAACUGCGUCCGAUACUGGAAGGCUUGAAUCCGGGAGAGGGAUGCGGAAUUCCAGGUGUAGCGGUGAAAUGCGUAGAUAUCUGGAGGAACACCGGUGGCGAAGGCGGCAUCCUGGACCGGUAUUGACGCUGAGGCGCGAAAGCCAGGGGAGCAAACGGG
rnacentral:rRNA from 1 species